rnacentral:misc_RNA from 1 species
UAAUAAGUGUUUUAUGGCACUUUUUAAAUCCAUAUCCACCUUGUGUGCAAUGUCAGUCGAUCUUCUUCAUGGAGUUCGACCAAACAUCAACCUAAUCUUUUAACUCUUUGUCUGAAAAAUAUUAUGAAUAAAAUAAUUCAAAAUA